UCCGCCCCCCUCCCCUCGGCCGGCCCGCGCCGGCCGUGGCUCACGCGCCUCCGGGCGGCGGAACUCCGCUCCGCUGUGGGCCGAGCGACGGGCCGCGGCUCUCCGUGGGGCUCCCAAAGGCUGCUGGAGCCCAGGCCGACUAGCAGCGCUUCUUCGCUGCUGGCUACUAUUCGUUUUCCUUGACAGGGACUGCGUCGCUCUUCAUACGCGCCUCCGAAAUAGAAAUGCCGCUGGAGACUUUCUGUAAAGCCGGUAAAAUGAAUUGUUACGGAUAUUUCUGCUGUGACUGCGAACUGCUCUUACUGAGUAGCUCAUGGGCCCUGACUGGAGAGAUGAGACAACACGGAGAAAAGAGAUGUAGGCAGAGACUUUCUAGCGAAGAGCUACUGUGAUAGUGGGCUUCUCCUGUAGCAGUACAACUGUUGAUCAGUAAGAGAUCUGCAGACAUCGGAGCUGGAGAGAUGGGGAGUGUCCUGGAUUAGGGUAAAUCUGGGAGAAAACCUCCAAAGGGGGCUCCCCCAGAAAACAAACCCACACAGCCCCUUUCCCCCACCGGUUUGGGAAGGAUUCCUCGGAGAGAAGUGGAAAGAACCUGUUUAUUUAACAGGCAAAACACCCCCAGCACACAAAAUGAACAAUACCAGAUGACAGCACUUUCACCGAUCUGAAAAGGAUGACAAAAUCAGAAAGUCUUUCCUGGGAGUGGUCGCUCUGUUGUUUCUCCCUCCGGCGCUGGGGAAUAGCUGCUGCAGCCACAAGAUGUAAACUCUCGCUGUUUCCCAUGUCCCAGUCCGGAGCAGGUUUGAAUGGCUUCAAAAAGGGAAGGGAAAAAACAGUCCAGGGAAAAAUCUAAACUAACAGAAGCAAGCAGCAAAAGCAGAGCGGGAGCAAAGCAGGAGCAAGAGCAAAGCAAAGCAGCAAAAAGCAAAACCCACACUAUGUACUGUCCCGUCUCUCUGUCCCACCAGCCGUGGGGGAGCAGGCUGAUAACAAACCAAAACAAACCUUGCUCUUCAGAACCAGUCUUGAAGGCACAGUACAUAAUAUCCAGCACCAACAGAACACACGAUUAUGGAUACAAGCAUCAUAACCUCACCCUAGGACAGGGAGAAAGAGUUUCAAUGAUGCUGGAACUGCCUCUCUGGAUGUGUGCUCAGCUCUCGCUGCUAUGGACUGUGUGGCCUUAAUUGCUGCAGGUUCCUGUUCUCACUGAAGAAUUGGAAAUAAUUAUUAAUUAGACUGCCAAGAUGUUUCCUAAAACCUUUCCCUUUAGUGGUAGAUCUUCUCUUUCUGCCUUUGAAUUUACAGUGAUUCUUGGAUGUCAUUCACCUACCCAAAUUCCUUGCAGCUCUUGGGGUAGAGAGAAGCUUCUCCUGUGGCUGAGGUUCAGCAGGAAAAUGAUACCAUGUGUUCCACCUCCUUAAUAAAUGUAACUGCUCUUUAUAUCUUAGAGUGUAGAUUUAGUUAAUCCUUUUUCAACAGAAAGUGGCAGGCUGAACUCACCUGAAUUACUGAACCAUACUUUGGAUAGUUGAAUUUUUUAAAAGAAAAAAAAAAAAAAACAACAACCAAACCCAGGGUUUUUGUCUGUGGGUUUUACUGGUAUUGCUCCUUAAUUGAGCCACAACUUUAAAUAAUGACGUGGGCACUUUCUGGAAACAGGUCUCAUGGGACCUCUGAGCUCACAUUUUUCCAUUGCCAAGUUAAUUACAGGUCCAAGCUGACAGUGUCUGUGCAUCUGGUGUUCAUUGAUCUGUUUGUGAUACUAAUUUCAUUUGGAUGCAGAGUUGGGCUUUUGGGGCAGAUGAUGCCCCUCAAGCCAUGAGGCUUGUUUAAACCUUGUACUCUACUUUUUGAAGAUCCAGGGUGGGUGAGGACUUUGUCUUGUUGCUGUAUUAGGGGAUAGCAUUCAGGAAGUUCCUACAAUCUUCACACUGAAGUUGAAAUGUUCGAGGAUAUCGGUGUGAUGGUUCUCAGGGAGGAAUCUUGCUCCCACCGGCCUGUAGUGUGGUAGCGUAGGACCCAGAAGAGUAGGGUGUGAGGGACAGGGUGGAUAGGAACACUUCCCCCACCAGAGAGAGUAAAUCUAAACCAGAGAGUCAGAACCCGGAAGCGAUGACCGAUUGCUCCACCACCAGGCACUGUAAACUGGAAGCAGCGAGUCGUAACCCCAGAGUGACUGCCAAUACUUCCACAACCAGACAGGGCAAUCUGCAGCAGCUGCAGAAAGCAUCUUUAAGAUCUGUCUCUGAAAACCAAAUAAAACCACCUCAAACUUUAGUUAGCAAGGUAUAGGGAUUUGCAGCUACUGGGUGAAUACUUUUAGCAACUCCAUUAAGUGCCCAUAAAUCUUGCAGUAGUCUAUAAGUGCCAAUAGGUUUCCUUACUGGUAAUACAGGAUUAUUAAAUUCUGAUUCGCAUUCUUUCAACAAUCCUAAUGUCAGGAAUUUAUUGGUUAUUUGCUCUAUUCCUUUUCUGUUUUCCAACCUUACAGGGUAUUGCUUUCGGACUACUCACCUAACUCCUGUCUGUAGUUCAGUUUAAAAAUGGUCUGCCCAUUUUGAUCUUGACUGGGUAUCAGUAUGCCAUACUGAUUAGGUAUUUGCUCUAAAUAGUUACUAUUGUUUGUUAGUCUUGUGUCAAUUGUCAGUCCUAAUGCUGAAAUAAAUUUGUCUUCAGGUACCUUAAAUUUAAUUUUUCCUUCUCUAAGCUCAAUUUGCUUUUAAAUUUUCAAGCAAAUCACUGCCUAGCAGAGAUUUGGGUGAAUUAGGUAAAGAAACUGGUGUAUUCCCAUCUUCUUCCCGAUUUUAUAUUUAAGAGGUUUCAGGAAGAAUGCAUUUUCUGGCUGGUCAG